UUUUGGACAAUGGGGGGAACCCUGAUCCAGCCAUCCCGCGUGUAGGAUGAAGGCCUUCGGGUUGUACAGUACUUUUGGCAGAGAAGAAAAGGUAUCUCCUAAUACGAGAUACUGCUGACGGUAUCUGCAGAAUAAGGAACGGCUAACUACGUGCCAGCAGCCGCGGUAAUACGUAGGGUGCAAGCGUUAAUAGGAAUUACUGGGCGUAAAGCGUGUAUAGGCGGUUCGGAAAGGAAGAUGGGAAAACCCAGGGCUCAACCUUGGAACUGCAUUUUUAACUGCCGAGCUAGAGUAUGUCAGAGGGGGGUAGAAUUCCACGUGUAGCAGUGAAAUGCGUAGAUAUGUGGAGGAAUACCGAUGGCGAAGGCAGCCCCCUGGGAUAAUACUGACGCUCAGACACGAAAGCGUGGGGAGCAAACAGG
rnacentral:rRNA from 1 species